CAACCUGCCCACCACUUGGGGAUAACCUUGCGAAAGUAAGACUAAUACCCAAUGAUAUCUCUAGAAGACAUCUGAAAGAGAUUAAAGAUUUAUCGGUGAUGGAUGGGGAUGCGUCUGAUUAGCUUGUUGGCGGGGUAACGGCCCACCAAGGCAACGAUCAGUAGGGGUUCUGAGAGGAAGGUCCCCCACAUUGGAACUGAGACACGGUCCAAACUCCUACGGGAGGCAGCAGUGAGGAAUAUUGGUCAAUGGACGAGAGUCUGAACCAGCCAAGUAGCGUGCAGGAUGACGGCCCUAUGGGUUGUAAACUGCUUUUAUAAGGGAAUAAAGUGAGUCUCGUGAGGCUUUUUGCAUGUACCUUAUGAAUAAGGACCGGCUAAUUCCGUGCCAGCAGCCGCGGUAAUACGGAAGGUCCGGGCGUUAUCCGGAUUUAUUGGGUUUAAAGGGAGCGUAGGCCGGAGAUUAAGCGUGUUGUGAAAUGUAGACGCUCAACGUCUGCACUGCAGCGCGAACUGGUUUCCUUGAGUACGCACAAAGUGGGCGGAAUUCGUGGUGUAGCGGUGAAAUGCUUAGAUAUCACGAAGAACUCCGAUUG
rnacentral:rRNA from 1 species